GGUUCGGUGGUGUAGUUGGUUAUCACGUCAGUCUCACAGUUCUCCUCAUACCUUUACGACGAGCGCACUGAAGGUCCCCGGUUCGAACCCGGGCCGAACCA